rnacentral:rRNA from 2 species
AGACCCGAAACCCGGUGAUCUAGCCAUGGGCAGGUUGAAGGUUGGGUAACACUAACUGGAGGACCGAACCGACUAAUGUUGAAAAAUUAGCGGAUGACCUGUGGCUGGGGGUGAAAGGCCAAUCAAACCGGGAGAUAGCUGGUUCUCCCCGAAAGCUAUUUAGGUAGCGCCUCGUGAAUUCAUCUCCGGGGGUAGAGCACUGUUUCGGCUAGGGGGCCAUCCCGGCUUACCAACCCGAUGCAAACUGCGAAUACCGGAGAAUGUUAUCACGGGAGACACACGGCGGGUGCUAACGUCCGUCGUGAAGAGGGAAACAACCCAGACCGCCAGCUAAGGUCCCAAAGUCAUGGUUAAGUGGGAAACGAUGUGGGAAGGCCCAGACAGCCAGGAUGUUGGCUUAGAAGCAGCCAUCAUUUAAAGAAAGCGUAAUAGCUCACUGGUCGAGUCGGCCUGCGCGGAAGAUGUAACGGGGCUAAACCAUGCACCGAAGCUGCGGCAGCGAACGUAUCACUUAAAGCGAUUCAGCGGGUUACGAUUGACGGA